rnacentral:lncRNA from 1 species
GGUCAGGGCAGGUAUAUCACCUACACUGCGCAUUGGGUAAACCUGCUGACGGGUGCCAAGCAUGGAAUGCGUGUCUCUGCAGAGGAGUUGGUGACACCGCCACGACUUGCAGGCAGGCCUGCUGCCACCUCCUCUACUCCUCCUACUCCAUCCUCUUCCAUAACCUCCUCGGAUGAGUCCUCUUCUGCUGCUGCGUCUUGCUCCACAUCAACGGCACCCCCCCAGCUCCCCAG